rnacentral:rRNA from 1 species
AGGGAAUAUUGGUCAAUGGAUGCAAGUCUGAACCAGCCAUGCCGCGUGCAGGAAGAAGGCCUUCUGGGUUGUAAACUGCUUUUGUCAGGGGAUAAAACGACCAUGCGUGGUUAAUUGAAGGUACCUGAUGAAUAAGCCACGGCUAACUACGUGCCAGCAGCCGCGGUAAUACGUAGGUGGCAAGCGUUGUCCGGAUUUAUUGGGUUUAAAGGGUGCGUAGGCGGCCUUGUAAGUCAGUGGUGAAAUACUCCAGCUUAACUGGAGGGGUGCCAAUGAUACUGCAGGGCUUGAGUACAGAUGAGGUAGGCGGAAUUGACGGUGUAGCGGUGAAAUGCAUAGAUAUCGUCAAGAACACCGAUAGCGAAGGCAGCUUACUGGGCUGUAACUGACGCUGAGGCACGAAAGUGUGGGGAUCAAAC